GACCCCAGGUUAGGUGGGGCAACCCGCCGAGC
rnacentral:rRNA from 1 species